rnacentral:rRNA from 1 species
UACGUAGGGUCCGAGCGUUGUCCGGAAUUACUGGGCGUAAAGAGCUCGUAGGUGGUUUGUCGCGUUGUUCGUGAAAACUCACAGCUCAACUGUGGGCGUGCGGGCGAUACGUGCAGACUUGAGUACUGCAGGGGAGACUGGAAUUCCUGGUGUAGCGGUGGAAUGCGCAGAUAUCAGGAGGACCACCAAUAGCGAAGGCAGCUCGCUGGGACGUUCCUGACACUGAGGCGCGAAAGCGUGGGGAGCGAACAGG